GACCCCUGGCAAUAGGCAAAGAGACACCUUGUUGGUGGUGGUGUUCUUAUAUCUGUCAGGGGCAGAGCAGAUGGCAGUCCUUUGUUCAUCUUAGUUUGAUGCCUGGCUUGAUAGCCAAAGCUGUUUUAUGCCUAGGACUCAUAA